AAGGCCUUAGCUUAAUUAAAGCGUCUGUGUUGCAUACAGGAAAUGUGGGUUAGUGUCCCGCAGGUCUUA